GGAUUAGAUACCCGGGUAGUCCACGCCGUAAACGAUGAAUGCUAGGUGUUAGGGGUUUCGAUACCCUUGGUGCCGAAGUUAACACAUUAAGCAUUCCGCCUGGGGAGUACGGUCGCAAGACUGAAACUCAAAGGAAUUGACGGGGACCCGCACAAGCAGUGGAGUAUGUGGUUUAAUUCGAAGCAACGCGAAGAACCUUACCAGGUCUUGACAUCCCUUUGAAGACGCUAGAGAUAGCGAGUACCUUCGGGACAAAGGAGACAGGUGGUGCAUGGUUGUCGUCAGCUCGUGUCGUGAGAUGUUGGGUUAAGUCCCGCAACGAGCGCAACCCUUGAUUUUAGUUGCCAGCAUUGAGUUGGGCACUCUAGAAUGACUGCCGGUGACAAACCGGAGG
rnacentral:rRNA from 1 species